AGUGCUCUUAACCUUUGAGCCAUCUCUCCAGCCACAGUAAACCUCUUAUGAACAAGUAUACAUCAGUGAAGUACAAAAUGCUGCAUCUGGGUCAAAGUGUUGAGCAAUCUUGGAGCUGAAGAGAUGACUCAGCAGUUUAGAACACUUGUUGCAGAGGACCAGGGUUGGAUUCCAGCUCCCACAUUGUGGCUCACAACCAUCCAUAACUCCAGUUUCACCUGAAUUGUUCUUCAGACUUCUUUGGGCACCAGAACUGAAGAACUGUCUCUCUUCAGGGCCCAUCGUGCUACCUGUGGAAUGAUGUUACAUUUCUCCUGAGAUUCUAGAAACUGAAGGCUAUCUCCCUUCAGGACAUGUGUCACAGUGUCCACUGCAGCUAUCUCCUAAUGCUCUUCCCCAUACCUAAAAGCCCAUUCCCCGAUUUCAGACCACGAUGCUGCAACUCAAUAAAGUCCAUGUGAAGAGUG